GCCGCGGUGAUGAAAUUGGUAUACAUAGGAGACUUAAAAUCUCCCGGUAGUGAUACCGUGUGGGUUCGAGUCCCGCCCGCGGCA
rnacentral:tRNA from 2 species